UACAGAGGGGGCAAGCGUUGUUCGGAAUUACUGGGCGUAAAGGGCGCGUAGGCGGCCUGCUAAGUCGGACGUGAAAUCCCUCGGCUCAACCGGGGAACUGCGUCCGAUACUGGUGGGCUCGAAUCCGGGAGAGGGAUGUGGGAUUCCAGGUGUAGCGGUGAAAUGCGUAGAUAUCUGGAGGAACACCGGUGGCGAAGGCGGCAUCCUGGACCGGUAUUGACGCUGAUGCGCGAAAGCCAGGGGAGCAAACGGG
rnacentral:rRNA from 1 species